rnacentral:rRNA from 1 species
CCUACGGGAGGCAGCAGUGGGGAAUAUUGGGCAAUGGGCGCAAGCCUGACCCAGCAACGCCGCGUGAAGGAUGAAGGCUUUCGGGUUGUACACUUCUUUUGUCAGGGAAGAGUAGAAGACGAUCCCUGGCGAAUAAGCCACGGCUAACUAUGUUCCAACAGCCGCGGUAAUACGUAGGUGGCAAGCGUUGUCCGGAUUUACUGGGUGGAAAGGGCGUGUAGCCGGGUUGACAAGUCAGAUGUGAAAUCCUGCGGCUUAACCGAAGAACUGCAUUUGAAUCUGUUGAUCGUGAGUACUGGAGAGGAAGAUGGAAUUUCUAGUGUAGCGUAGAAAUGCGGAGAUAUUAGGAGGA